GACGGACGCUGGCGGCGUGCUUAACACAUGCAAGUCGAACGGUAAGGCCCUUCGGGGUACACGAGUGGCGAACGGGUGAGUAACACGUGGGUGAUCUGCCCUGCACUUCGGGAUAAGCCUGGGAAACUGGGUCUAAUACCGGAUAGGACCACUGCCUGCAUGGGGGGUGGGGGAAAGCUUUUGCGGUGUGGGAUGGGCCCGCGGCCUAUCAGCUUGUUGGUGGGGUGAUGGCCUACCAAGGCGACGACGGGUAGCCGGCCUGAGAGGGUGACCGGCCACACUGGGACUGAGAUACGGCCCAGACUCCUACGGGAGGCAGCAGUGGGGAAUAUUGCACAAUGGGCGCAAGCCUGAUGCAGCGACGCCGCGUGAGGGAUGACGGCCUUCGGGUUGUAAACCUCUUUCAGCACCGACGAAGCGCAAGUGACGGUAGGUGCAGAAGAAGGACCGGCCAACUACGUGCCAGCCGCCGCGGUAA
rnacentral:rRNA from 1 species